CCCUUAGAUGUUCUGGGCCGCACGCGUGCUACACUGAGUGGAUCAGCGGGUCAGGUUGCGCGAAAGUGUUUCCUAAUCUCGAAAUCCGCUCGUGAUGGGGAUUGACGGUUGCAAUUUUCCGUCAUGAACGAGGAAUACCUUGUAAGCGCGGGUCAUCAUCCCGCGCUGAAUACGUCCCUGCCCUUUGUACACACCGCCCGUCGCUCCUACCGAUUGAGUGGUCCGGUGAGGCUUUGGGAUCUGAGCAAAAAGAGCGUUUCGCUCGUUUGGCUCGGAAAACUCAGUCGAACCUUAUCAUUUAGAGGAAGGAGAAGUCGUAACA
rnacentral:rRNA from 1 species